rnacentral:lncRNA from 1 species
CGAGGGAAUAAGGAUGUAAGGUGCCUCCAGCCACAGAUGCGAGCCAGGCAGUUCUGAGUGAGGAGGAGUCCUCAGCUGCCCCGAUCCCCAACGCCCGCCGCAGGGUCUGUGUGCAUAUGGCCGCAGGGAGGGGGUGUGUGUCUGGGAAGCCUCGUAUUGCAGGAGCUGUAAAUCACCGCUGUGCUCUCCUAUGUGGAGGACAGUCAAGCAACUGGAGCUGUAGGAGAGGGAGGGCGAGAGAGAGAAAGAGAUGGAGAAAGAAGCAUCUGGACCGUGCAGUUCUGUGGGCAGUGCCAACAUCGGGAGCCACGGUGCUGCCUGUAGCCCUGGAGGGCCAAAGCCACGCACCAGUGAGCGGUCCGGGAAGGAGGGGGCCGGGUCGGGGUUUAGGAGUGGAGAAUCACGUGGCAGCUCAAUUAAGCAUUUCCCGUGGUUUUGCAGGUGCCACACAGGGAGCCUUUGGAAUCGGAUGAGCAUUUGAGCUGAUGAAGAGGAACCUGGCAGCUGCAGGAAUGUCCUGGUUAGCUGCUGUGGGUUUGUUGAGGAUGGAUUCAGACCCCCGGCCCCCUGACGGCUAAGCUGAGGAUCCGGGACCGCUGCUCUACAGUGUGUGAUUUUGACUUCAGUUGGAAUCAGAGUGAAUCUUCAGAGGUAAUGUACUUGGCAGUAGAAUUCAUAGUAAAAAGUCUUUUCACUGUCCUUUUUUUUUUUUUUUUUAAAAAAAAAAUCCUGCCAAAGUGCCAAGUACAGCACAUCAUCCAAAAGUUGAUGGUGUCACUGGUCUUUGGGUUCUCAGUUGUCAUAGAACUGGGAUGUCAUAAAAGCGUGUUCUCCUGCAGUGCACCAAAAGCAGAGCAGCAAAUCUGCCAGUCCUUUUUGGUAGGCUUAUGUGCUGCAGCAAUGGGGGUUUGUGCCGCGAUUGAGAGUCCUGUCCCACAGGUUUGAUUUUUUUUUUUUUUUUUUCCCCUAAAAGUAAAACCAUAUGAGGCAUCUCACUGAUUUUUCUAUCAAAUGAAACAAGAAAAAAGUUAAAAUGGAAUAAUUUACAAAUUGUCUUGUAUUGUUUAAGUUGUAACUACCAAACAGCUAUAGCAUAUAAUUCGUUAGGUGGAGUUAAGCAGUUAGCUUUUUGUUGUAAAUGUUUAAAAACAGGUAACUGAAAGUACUUUAUUUCUGUCUCACUCAGUGGUGCAUUUCCCUGGCAGUUCAGCAGCGUCUCUUGGUUGGUGCAGCUGGCCAGAUGUCCCUGCUAAUUACAGAACACACCAAACCCCCUCGUCAAGUUGUAAGUGUGUAUUUUGGAGAUGGGCAGUCUGAUGGUAUCAGCUCACAGAUCUGCAAGUUCAGGGAAUGCAAAAGGAAAAUCAAAUACUUACACAUCUAAUAAAAACACUUCUAUAAAAUAUGUCCA